AAAAAGGUAAGCUAAAUAAGCUAAUGGGUUCAUACCUCAUUUAUAAAGGCUACACUCCUUUCCUUUUUA
rnacentral:tRNA from 1 species